UCAUAGUGCACACGAUAAAAUUCCAGAAGACCGAGAAUGGCUGUUAGAUACAAUAGAAUGCUCUAAGAGUCACUAUCAAAAAUGAGCAUAUCAGUGCAUAAAAUGUGUGGUAGUUUAGCAGUUAUUUCAUUGUUUACCGCUAAUGGAAGUCUUAAAAAGAAAAUGGAAAAUUGAAAGGAAACCACAUACUGGAAACAAUUCAAUAUGCCUACAAAAAUUGGUGUCCUCCAGUACAAAACAAUACAACAUCAAAUGGUUAUUUCUUAGAAACAUCAAAUAGUGCUAGGAUGACACUCGCAAAUGCUUGAGAACUUUGUCUAGAUGAGGAGCCAGUUGACCACGAUGCUUUAGAUGGGCAUAAGACCUCUCCAACAGAAGAUACUCCAUUAUAUCCUCAUUCAACAGGCUCUAUGUAUCAACAG
rnacentral:lncRNA from 1 species